ACCGCACGUUUGACUGGUCUUUUGUCUGCACCCGCCCCCAGAUGCGCCACCACAGCGCUCUCCGAGUUUUCACAACACGAUGGCUUCUCAAGCAUUCAGUCCCUCAGUAGCCCCGCAGAGGUUUCCGGCCCUGGUGGGUGGUGGGGGCUGCUCGGCCGGCUCCUCCUUGCUCCCCGUGGCCCUUGUGCAUGACUGGAGAGUCACAGAACCAAGGAAGUAAGACAGUUUGAAAACCACAGCUCUUGAGAACGUACGGGGCUUGGUGAGAACUCAGUUCUCAGCUAGAUCGAUGUCCUUGUGGCGAAUUACAAGGAGUCCAUAAACGCUGCCUCAACGUACUCGCUAAAACAGGCUGGUAGCCGUGCAUCUCUCCUCAUGAUUCUGUGGCUGUCCCGUUGGAGGCACACCGUGCUGGGGUUCGGCGUGAGCUUUCACGGGAACCUGGCCUUCGGAGCCACCCCCGGCUUCCCGUCCUUACUCGGGCAAGACGCGCACGUUACACGGGCUCCGGGGUCUUGAGGUUUGAGGAGGUCGGGAGAGGCCGACGGGGACUCCCACUUCUGCAGCCAAAAACAUUAAACUCCCGCAGAAAGCAAAGCUCUCAGGGCUGGUGUUUUGUCUCACUCCACACCCUGGCAAAGAACAGGUGAGAGUUUUGGAGGCUUCCUUCCUUCCUAUCCAGCCUGCUGGGACGAAAGCAGUGUGAACAUUUGUGGGGAAAAAUCACACCAGAUUGGAGUCUCGAGAAUCGGGGUGAAGCGAGUGCCAACAGAAUCCGGGGACAGAAUAACGGUGGCUGGAUGCGGACCCACGGGCGGGACUUCCCUAGCGGCGGAGUCAGCUGUCCUUCCCAGCCUCCCAUCGGUUACGUCCAAGGCGGCAGCCUCAUACACGGGCACACAAGCACACUCACUUUGAAAUACUCCUCCUCGCCGGUCUUUUCCGAAAGAGGAAUCGCCCGAAUGCCCGAUCUUGUUUCCUGUGUGUAAGCGUGGGUGCCACAUCCAAGCUAAGAAAACUCCAAGAAAGAGAGCAGACCCCGAAACGUGAGCUGGGAGGUCAUGCUGUGAAGUUGCCGAAAGCCCCCCUGGAUCAGUGACAGGAGCGCAGAGAGCAAACACACGUGCUGGUGCCCCUCUUGUAGCAGACAGAACGUCAGAGAGCUUGACGUGAAAGCGAAGAAAAGCCAUCAUCUGUGUGGUCGUCUGAUCGGCCAGUACUUUACGGAUCAGACCAGACAGCGCCCAGGCUCAGUGGAUCUCAAAACUGAACCAGGGACUUCUCCCAAGCCCUUGUCCGGCGGGUGUGGGGACGACCUUCCUUCUUAUGGCUAAAGACAUUCCACUGUACGGACAGACCACGGCUUGUUUAUCUGUUGAUGGGCAUUGGGUUGUUUCUGCCCUUUGGCUGUCUUGAGCAGCGCGGCAAGAACCUUCUGCGGGGAGCCCAGAGCCGGACAAAGAGGCCGCCCGUUGUGUGAUUCCAUUAACACGAAAUGUCCUGAAUAAAUGAGUUCACAGAAAGGGACGGCUGUUUGCUGGCUCCCCAGGCCGGGGGAGGGCGUUGGGGAGCAAAUUUAUGUGAAUUUCACCCCAGUACAGUUUUUAAAAAAAAAACAAACAAAACCCAAAUGGAAAUGAAUCCUCUGGAACAGCAGCUCUCAAAGAUUCAUGGGGUAGGAAGGUUGAUGAGAGGUGGGCAUGAAUCCCACGUGUGGUAAAUAGAAGUAACCCUAAGAUAUGUUCAGAAGACACGGACAGGUGUUUGGCUGUGGGCGGGGCUGGAGCACUGGCUGGGGGUCCUCGCGGUCUGGAGGCCAAGAGGCCGCCCGCUUUGCUGGUCUCUUCAUCGUGGAGACGCCAUCAUCACCGGGAUUUUUCUGUAUUUAUCAGCCUUGCUGCUCGUGGCCCACCUGAGAACACCAGCCACGCUCCAGACAGACAGCCUGGAUGGCCUCGGGACAGCGGCUCUCUCCACGCAAAAUCAAGUCGGCACUCAAAGCCACGUGGAGAAUCACACUUUUACAAUGUAGACUUGAAGGCAUUUACCGAGCAAACCGCUAACAUUUUUUAAACAGCCAUUGAGAAAUGUGUCGUGCCGUCUUGAGUUUAAGACGGCAGGUCCUAUAGAGGACCUGUUCCAAGGUGGUGCUUUCCCCGCUCAGGGCCGGCGAGCGGCCCUGCCUGGGGAGUGUAGGGAGGCCCUGCUUUCUCCGGGUACCACUCCUCAGGCAUCACGAACACAGCGCUCCAGGGCCAGUAGGAAGGUCUAGCUUCACCAGUUUCUCAUGACGUUCAAAGAGAUUUUUCACAAAGGGAUUCGUGGACCCUGUUUUUCACACCCUUCAGGAUAUCACGAGGUCCUGGAGGGCAAGUUAGGAACCACCCAGUUUUCCUAGGAAUAUUCCAGAAGAAUAGGCAGCUCCCCCCUGAUGCAUACACUCCAUCACCACCACCCGUGACUUUGCAACGUCUGUCCUGAUGUGGAUCCACGCGGAUUCGGUGUAGAGCCCUGGCCCCCGUCCUCUGGCUGAAGAUGCGUCCUGUAGACCAACAUCAGACGGUCUUUCUUCCUUUCCCAGAAUUUUGGUUUUGUGAUUUCAAACUCCAGGCUGGGAGACUGGACAAGGGGCGUGUCCGGAACCACUCUCUGGAAAGCAUCGGCAGAUGUGGUACCAACAUUUCACAAAGACUCUCUCACCAGUAGAAAGGGCUCCUUCUUCACGGAUCCUCUGCGCGUGGCAUGGAGGUGGGGAGAGGGGGCAUCGUGUGUGCCAGAUUCCCUGUUACCGGGAGAGACCGGAGAGCUUCCCCCAGAAGCCCUGAGUGUCAGCACUGACAUCUGGGUCUCCUCCUCAAAAACCAGUGCACUCUUCCACCAGGAAUACAUUUACUGCCCCAGAAAGCGGGUCUCAGGCUGAGGGCAGGUGCACAGUGCUCCCUGAUGAAUGUAAAGGUGACAUCGAAAUGAUGAGGGCCCCCUCAGUAUGAAAGCAAAGCGUCUGGCCGGAAUUAAUUAUUUAUUACCUUUGUUCAGAGUAUUUUUCUCUGCCAAAAGUGCAAACACUUCCCCAGAAAACGGAGGCAAUAUUGCAGUAUCUGCCCUGGGGCUUGGCAAAUAAAAGUACAUUUAAAAAGCCAGAGUCCCCACUCACUUUCCCAUUGCCCCUGCUUCUAAAUACCACGCCGCCAGCUCUAAAUAGAAAAAUAAAUAUUUGCAGAUUAAAGGUUUCAUUUUAUUGCAAAUAUUCAUGAAGAUUAAAUGUCAUUUUAAUCACAUGUUAGUUUAUUUCUCCGGGCGCAUCACGCUGGCGUCUCCUCGCUCACUGCGGGGAAAUGUGCGUUCCUGGCACCAGCUGGGGCCUAUUUACCAUUUGUUCUCGGCCGCGUGAGCGCGCGGCUCCUUGAAUCAGAAAAUAUAGAUCGUCGCCGACUAAUUGGUGUUCACGGAUGGAAACUUCCAAGCCGGAGCCGCAGAGAUGCUGAGAUGCCGCUGUAGCAAAAUGCCUUUUCCCCCAUCGGGGAGGUGGCCCGACCCCGGGGCCGUGGCCGCUCAGCUCUGGGGGGGCCGGGCAGGGAUAGGGCAACACACUUCAGGCCUCGGCUUUGAAUCCAGCCGAGAAUUCCUUCCCCAGGGGAGAGCUGGGAAUGCCCAUUCCUCUCCGAGGAGAAGUGGCAAGAGACCCCAGCAAACGGGCCAUCCGGCAAAUGCCCGUGUGGCCUGCUCUUCUGGUUCAAGGUUCCUGGAAGGAACGUUUCCUGCACCUGCACCUUAGAAUGAAUAAAAUGUGUCCUUGUUUGCUGUUC